AUUGAACGCUGGCGGCAUGCCUUACACAUGCAAGUCGAACGGUAACAGGUCUUCGGAUGCUGACGAGUGGCGAACGGGUGAGUAAUACAUCGGAACGUGCCCGAUCGUGGGGGAUAACGGAGCGAAAGCUUUGCUAAUACCGCAUAAGAUCUACGGAUGAAAGCAGGGGACCGCAAGGCCUUGCGCGAACGGAGCGGCCGAUGGCAGAUUAGGUAGUUGGUGGGAUAAAAGCUUACCAAGCCGACGAUCUGUAGCUGGUCUGAGAGGACGACCAGCCACACUGGGACUGAGACACGGCCCAGACUCCUACGGGAGGCAGCAGUGGGGAAUUUUGGACAAUGGGCGCAAGCCUGAUCCAGCCAUGCCGCGUGCAGGAUGAAGGCCUUCGGGUUGUAAACUGCUUUUGUACGGAACGAAAAGACUCUUUCUAAUAAAGAGGGUCCAUGACGGUACCGUAAGAAUAAGCACCGGCUAACUACGUGCCAGCCGCCGCGGUAACAC
rnacentral:rRNA from 1 species